rnacentral:snoRNA from 1 species
CCCCUCUCAGAGUCACACCUGGAGAGUUUCCAGUCCUCUACCAGUCUCAGCUAUGGGAGGGAGAAUCAGGCAGAGGCCUACCCAUUCCAUUCCUAGCUUGGGCAGUGGCUAGCAAAUGGAAGGCAAUCUGCCACAAGU